CUGCUGCUGCUGCUCCGGGCGCGUGCGCGGCGGCGCGCGCUCGGCCGGGUCGCCCCCGCGGGGCUCUUAGAGCCCGGCCGGCCGCGAGCGCCUGACGGGCAGCGCGGGCCCGUCCCCCCGCAGCAGCGCGAACGCCUCAGCGGCGGCGGCGACAGCUCCCCGGCUCCGGGCUGCAGCUGUUGUUGCCAUGAUGAUGAUGUCACGGACGCAACCAUUGGGGGAACGGGGAGGUGGACGGGCCGUGUGUUGGGGGGGGGGAAGAGGGGGGCAACGAGCGGGGGAAGUGUCACUCCCCCACACGCACACCCGCCCCCCCUCCCCCGUCUUUCGGGUGGGCUCGGCAGACGGGGCGCGAGUGCGCGCGGGCGUGGGGGAAACCUUUCCGAUGCUUUACCCUCCUCCCCCCGGUGGCGGGAGGCGGCGGCGGGGGUGCUCGGUGAUUCGGCGAUCGGCCGCGCGGGCUAGGGUGAGGCUGCGGAAUCCCGAGCCGCGGAUGGGGCGGGGAGGGAGCGCUGCUGGGACACGAUGGGGUUAAACUGGGUCGGCCGCCAUUUUGGAUGCCGAGCCGCCUCGCUGCGGGAAGGUCUUGCCGUUGCCUCAUAUCAGAAAAACCUACCGGUGAAUAGCUGCCAGUUGAGGCUGCAUGCGGUUGAUCCUUCCAUCAUCUCUGCAUGUAUACAUAUCCCUACCAAACUCUGAAAUUUCUAUUCCAUAUGAUGCAGCACAGGUAAAUGGUUGUAAGAAUUGUUUCUAAACAGGCAAGCGAGACAUAAUCUUUCAUAUUCUAGUUCUAAUAAACAGCUGAAGCAUUUAGUUGAAACUGUCAACUGAGAAAUGUCUGGUGUGAAGAGAGUUAGCCCAAAUGGUUCAAAUAGUAAGUAAUUAAAAAGAUGACAUAAUGGAAAAUUUUCAAGUACUAUAACUGCCAAAAGCCCUAUCAGUCUCCUAUAACUUAUGUAGCCAAAUAUACAUGAGUAUGUGGUUAUUAUUUGAAUUUUUGUUGUUUUAAAAUGUGAAAUGUGUUUCUGUGAAUGAAUCACAGAAAUGGGGCUGGAUGGUAAGUGGUGAAAUCCAUUUAAUUUUAGAUGCUAUAUUUGUAGUUAUAAUGUAGCCUGACUUACGGGAGGCAUUCCUCAUUCAUGCAUCAGACAAAGUGAAAGAAACCUCAGUCCAAUAUGUAGAUCACAAACAGCCAUCUGUUAUCCAAAAGGAGAGAGGAGUAUUGCCAUAAGAGUAAACUUAAAAUGUUUUAAGAUUAGAUUAGGGAUGGCAGAGCUCCAUUAAAUGCUUUGUCCAUAUCUGUCAGCAUUGAUCCCUGUAAUAUAUGAACGUAUAUCUUAUGCUGCAGUUUCAGAUAUCUACUGUUUUUUUCUAUUACAACAAUUACCUGUAGUUUGGAACUCAGUAUAUCUUUCCUGUAUUGUCUAAAUCUUUCUGUUCCUAAUUGAGUAUGUAUAUAUAACCUCUUAUCACCUUGAAUAAUUAUUAUUCCUUCUUGGGGUUUGUUCCUUUGAAAUAGUUUUCCAGAACAAACUGAAUGUUAAGAAGGAAGCAUUUUGAACUUCCUACUUGCUUAGCUUGAGCAAGUAAGGUAACACUUGUAUAGGUUUGUAACAUUUCCUUUUGAGUCUUUCCAGCUCCCAAAGAAUUUCUGUUAUUUUUAUGUGAAUUCCAUCCAAUUUGCAGAGAUCUGUCUCGUAAUAUGCCUAGUACUCAUUGGUGAAUUCCAGGCGUGGUUGUAAAGAGCGUGGAUGAAGAAUUUAUGGUUUAUGUCCAGAGAGUUUUUUACUUUGUUUCAGGCAUCCAUAUGACCUCUAUGUGUAGGGCAGAAUUAAUUACUUGACCGUAUUAAUGUCUGGUCCACCAAGAGGCUUGAAGGACUUUGUUAGUUGUCCACAAAUAAAAUGUUCUACAGUCUGCCCUACUGCUGUAUAAAAACUGUUACCUUCAUGCUCUAGGAUACAGUGCUUCCAAGAAUGCAAGUCAAAUCUAGAUUAGUCUCUUUGUUGGUACUCUGUUGCAAAUCUAUUUGUAGUUCCUGCUUGCUUGUUAUCCUUAGAUCCUUUACAAAUAUUAUGCCUUUGGGGUAUUUCCAUCCUAUUGAAUAUAUUCCAGAAUCUGUUCCAGAAUAUUUGUCUCAGUCAUUUCCAUAGCAGUAGCUUGUUUUUUCAUGUACUCAAUUUCAUUUUACUGUUUUCUGACUGCAUUUCAGCCACACUAAGUUACUUUGAGGUGUAUCAGUGUCCUCAAAGUUGUCUGCAUGGUGGCCUCUCAGGGAUUAAUGAAGAUGUCAAAUAAAACAGGGCCUCACAACAGUUCCUGUGGCACCACGCAUAUAGACAGAUUGCUACUUAUCCUUUUUCCUAGGAUUCUUUUAUUUGCUGUCAGUUUUCACAGUUUUAUCUUGAGCCCUACAAUAGUCACUGUUUUCCUUAAGCUUCAGAAUUUUUACAUGGUCAUUGUGUCUUUGUACCUCUUGUUCAGCAUCAUAGUCUAUCUAACACAUUCUGAGUGAUUUUUGAGGUUUCAUGAGAGUGCCAAAUGCUUUCGUAAACUUGAAUUAUGUAAUAUCUAAAGAUUUCCUUUGGACUGUGUAUUUUGUUCUGGCUUUUGGGGAAAGUGUUGAUGUUUGGUUUAUUAUAGGCUAAAUAUUGCCUAGUAUUUUGUUGUCCUUUAAGGCUGACAUUUUUGGGCUUGUGUGUCCUGAAAUUGUUUAGUGUAGUUUAGAAUUUCAAAGGCGGUGCUCUUAUCUAGAUGUUUAAAAACCUAAUUUUGUGACUACUGAAACCUAGUUUCAAAAAUGUUCAUUUACUGAGGACUUUUUGCUAGCAUUCUUCUUUGCCCAGUACUCGCAUUGAAGGGAUGAUAUUAUUACAUUAUUAUUAUUAUUAUUACAUAUUGAGAUGAUAUUAUUAUCAUUAUUUUGUUAUUGUUAUUAAUCUACCAAUUCUAGUAGUACCUACUAAAGGAUGACACUGAAAAUGCAGGCCCCAUCAGCACACAGAUCUACCUCAACAAUUUUGGAGUCUUGCAAAUAAAAUUAAUUUUCAUACCAGUAUAUUGGUCAUUUUAUAUAUCAAAGCAUGAGAUAGGUACAGUUGGAGAUACAAACUUGGGAAGAAAACAAAUUUAUAGAGUAGAUCUGCUAAUCUAAUGUGAUAGGUUAAUUGAAGUUAGGAAAAAUUGAAAGGAAAGACACCAUGAUUCCGUUUCCAGAUUCUUGGGGGGAAAAUUGUGUGUGUUGCUUAUAGACUCCUAGUCGAGUACAGAAAUCGGAUACAUUCUCUCUGGAAGCUGUGCAGUUAAGUGACUGAGACUGGAUUCUGUUAUAAUAUGGUGCGUGUUUCCUGCUGUCUCUUGAGUAAUCUUGCAGCUGCUUUAGUUAGAAAAUCAGUAAUACUUGUUUUUGUCCACAAGCAGGAACUUGAUGACUUGGCUAAUAAGAUUAUACAACACUGCCCCCAAAAUCUGUAAAGUAUUAAGCACUAUGCCAUAGUCCAGUCUCCCCACCCACUGCACCUCCACCUUCCUUUUUCUAUGCUACUUUUUAAACUAUUUCGUGGAGACAGUAUUGUGCAUAGCUGUUUCUCUGAGGACAGCACUUGGGCUUUUGACCUAUUUCAUUUUUUUUCUCUAAUAAUUAAUGAUGUGAUAAUACUUAAGUGAUGUGUUCACAUUAGGACCAUGCUUUUUUCAAAGAAAAUGAUUGUUGAGUGAAAGUACGAAUAUGCAGGGAAAAGUAGGAAAUGAUUAUGCUGUAAAAAUAACUUUAAAAGAGUCUCAGAUUGUUCAGAGAGGGAAGAGAGCCUUCCAAGGAGUGAUCACAUUCUCACACUUGGCUUUAAACACAUUCUUUAUCUUUAAAAGGAAACAGAAGAGAAUCAGUCAGUAAAUCAAAUGUAGUUGUGGGCUUGUCUGCAAAACCAUAUCAUUCUGAAAUAAGGCAUUAAGACUGGACAUUUGAAGCAAGAAUUGUCAGUGCCAAGACUUCUUGUGCUUUGAGAAAAAUGGGCAUGUCUUUCAUUAAACAAUACCUUUCCUGCAUCCCCUGAUUGUUUUUCUUCAUCAUUGUCUCUAAAGAUAGCAGUUAUGGUGGCUCUGGGUGAAUCUUUAGGUGCACAUUAAAAAUGAGACUGUAUUUUUGUGCUGUAAGGAAUAAGCUUUUAAAAUCACUAAGAUUUUUUUAGUAUCUAUUUGUUUGAAAAGGAAAUUGAAUUUCUUACCAAAAAAUCUCCACCUUUUUGUAGUUGUAGUUAGAGAAAAAAAUGUGUUUAAAGACCAUGUUCUAGCUGCAACUUUUUAAACCUGUUUUGUGAUAAAGAUUUCACUACCAGUAACCUGAGUUUCUCUCUAUUGCUGCAGCAUGAAAUUACUAGUCAGUUCCCUUAUUUCUUCUUUUCAUGACUGGCACAGAAUUGCUUUUUGCCUGGAGUACUUCAGAAAUUGCUUAUUUUAAACAAAAGAAAUCAACAGCAUCCAUGUUUUUCAAGCUCAUCCAGGGUAGCUUUAUCUUUUAUCACACUUUGAAAGUAUUAGCAUUUUUUAAAUUAAAUAGUUCUGUUUUGAAGUAAAUUUCGCUCAGAUAAAGAGAAAAUACAGCAGUAGUUGCCAAAAGGGAUAAAAUGCACUACCUGGAAACAUAUCCUUUAUUUCUUACGUUCUGACAGAAAAGGAGAUGAAUGAGCAUGUUAGAGGCACAAUGUUUCUGUAAAUAUUGUAUUGUUGUUAGCAUGAUUUAUUUCUAUGUCCCCAAUAAAAACAAAACUUUUAAAGCUUAUUUUAAUUUAAUUGUGUAGAAAUUGAUAACACUGCUACUUCAAAGGUUCAAAAAUUCCGAAUGAUUUGGCAUGAACUGUACUGUGACAGUAGAAUUCAUAAUUUCCUCGUUGGCUUCUUCGUAAUGUUCCUUACCAUAUAUUACAUCUACACUGUGAAAUAAAACAGGGCUAGAGAGACUGCUAUGUCCCUCUGCCUCCGAAUGCUGUCCCCUGCGCAGUGUGGGAGCACUGUUUCAGAUGGUACUAGUUGUUAUGGGCCUAAACUGCCACACAGCGUGCUAGCAGCUUAACAGCGUGGGUGACGAGCAAGCUGGUGUUCAAGCUUAUUCCUUGGUACCAUUUUACUAAGCAGUGUAGGCAGAGCAGCAGUGUCUCAGAUGAGGUUUUUUAAAUGUGCCAAUUUGCCAAAUUCAGAACAAGACCUUUAGGGUUAUUCAGCUCCACUGAUUUCUUUCUUUCCUAAGUGCUUCAAAUACAUUAAUUACUUUUCAUAACAUCUAAAUAAAUGAGUAAGAAGGGCCCUCGCUUAAGAGUCCUUUAGUCCCUGCACUCAGUACUACACAUGCAAGCUAUAUAAUUACUGUUUAAUGAAAAACAUAAGCAGGCCUAGGAGAUUAAAGCUUCCUUAUUCUUUUUGGCCUCUAAGUCUUCCAUUCCUCAGUGCUGGUUGGCAAAGACCCAAGCUGGAGGUAAGAGAUGCUUCACGUGCAACCACCUGCUGAUAGGGGCACUCUCCUAGGAGACAAGAGAGUCUGGUUUGGUGUCCUUCAAGCAAUGGAAAGCCUAGAAUCCAAUCUACUAUUGCCUCUUCAGCUGCUAUUGAAUAAUGCGGUGUCCUAACCACUCUGCUGCUACGUAAGGGUAUGCAACAGAGGUAUGUGUCCCGAAGGAGGGGGACACACCCUUAACCUUUGCCAAGACGUAGUUCUAGAAAAGCUCUUAGGCAGCAGAUGUAAAUUUGUGCCUGAUGACUGACCUAAAUUUCGCCAAGGAGGGAGACAAGAGUGAACAGCAAUAAAUGGCCUUCUGUAACCAGCUGUCUGAGCUAUCACAAGUAUAUCUCCGGUUGAAACUACUAAGAAUGCCAGAGUUCUGGUGCAUUUCUGUUGCUAGGUACUGCUGUUGGAGGACUAAACUCGCUAGCUCCAUACAUUCACCCAUCUUUGUUGGUCGGUUGGUGAGAAUAGCAGUGUUCUGUAUGCCGUUCGCAUGGGCAUAAAUGGCUACACAAAGGACAAAGUUCUAAAGAAUUAGGUCAGUAGGUUUUAUAUCUAAUUAGGCCUCUAAUCCUACAAACCACUUAUGGUUUUGCAUUAUUAUAUGUUCAUUGUGUCUUAAAUGGAAGUACUCAUUUGAGUGAAGUUAUGGGUGUAAUUGCAUGCAAGAUCCAAUCUGGGCAAUCGCAUUUUAGCUUAUUAUUCAUACUGUAGCACUGUUACAAAUCAGGUAUCUCUGAUGUUACCCCUUGCCCAGUCAGGGUGAAGGGGUAUCUGAAACUGAAUAUGUUUCUGUGUAAUGGCUUGCACUCCAUUUCCAUGCCUAUCCAAACCAAGCACUUAUGCAAAGGCAUGUCAUAGUGAGUAUUUUAACUGUUGAGUUAAGAGAGUCAUAAGGCAUGGAUUUUCAAUGCCGAAGGUCAUGAGGCUGCAGUUUCACUGGCUUAUGUGCUGCAUUUGCAUGGACAGAUAUUCCGACAGUUAAUGGUAGUGCAGAAUGCUUUAAUGAUUUUCAUUUGCAUCAAGCUGUUCUCACCUCUUAGGAACAUAAUGGAUAAAUAAAAGAGGCCUUUUGUUUGCUCUUCAUGAAAGUUAGCAGUGAUUAAGUGGUGCUAAGGGAACAGACUCAUGCUCUCAUUUAAAAAAAAAAACAAACCAAAACCCAACAACAAAACUGCCCAUCAAAGCUGACUUCAAAGUGACCUACUUCAUUUUGAUUUAAAAUGGCACUUGAAUAAUUUAUUUUAAUGCUAUGCACAUUUCCUAACUCAAAACACAGAACUGGUCACUCCUAACUGAAAAUACAGAAAUAGUUAUUACAUCAGACACAAAAUACUCGUAAUUUGUUAAGGUACUCUUUAUAGUGUUGAAUUACAAACAAAGCUAUAUACACUUAGAUCAGUAUUUCUUCCAAAUGGAUUCAGCAGUCACUUUCUUUAUUAAAAAUUACAUCCAGAACGUAGUUGUGGGCAAAUUGAUACUUUUUGCACUAUACUAUGGUGUUUCACAAGAAAGUCCAUGCCAGUGGCUUGCUAGAGAAAAUCUUGUCAUGAUUCCUUAAGGUGUUUCCUCUAAGUUUUAUUCUUAGAUGUAGAGCCUCCCUGUGGAAGAUUUCUCCAAACCUUCCUGGAAUAUGGCAUAUUCUCCUAAAGGUAUAGACUUCCACACUAUAUCUUGGCCCUUUGCAGUUCAGCAUCAGCUUCUCGGGCUCCUCUGCCAUGGAUCAGCUCAAAAGCCCGUUCUUGAAAAGGGCUCAAAGGAAGUUAGCAUAGGCUCUGGAUAUGUUAUAUUUUUAGACAUUUUCUGAAGGAUUUCAUGUGCAGUUUAGUCUCUUUCAGUGUAAUCUUGAAAAAAAUCUGAGUGGCCUUCAUGGCUCUUUGAGAAUAAAGCUUUGUUCUUAAACACCUUUGUGUCAGAAUGGUCACACCUAAAUUUUUGUUCCUAAUUUAUAGGCACACACGUCAUGAUUCCAUUGCCCUGAUUUAAGCAUUGGCAGCACAGUGCCAGUAUUUUAUGAUUAUAUUUUUCUAAAUGCGUUAGAGUUUCAACUUUAUGUAUCAGAUUGAGAAGCACAGUCAAGACACUCCAUAUCCCAAAUACCCUAAUUUCAGUAGUCUCCAUUUAGGGUACAAGGGUACAAUGUUCCUGAUAGCAGCUAGGAUGAAGAGGCUUUCAAGUACUUAGGCCUUUUCUUUUCGGUUAAUAACUUCCAGUCCUUGCAGUUUCUAACCUCCUGCCUUUGAGAUAGUGAUCUUGAGUACUUCUUCUGGCAUUCAACUUCUCUCUCUCAAGCUUGUGUCAUUUAAAUCAAGAUACAGAACUUGACUUCAUGUAUUUGGAAUACCCUCCAUUUUCAUGGAAUUAAUAGGAUAUUUGGGGAACACAGAAUAUGCAAAUUCAGACCUGCUGAAUACGUAAUUUUUAUGGCCCUUCUGUUUUGUAUUGGCUUUGUAAUUUGUCCAGUGUUUGACUGAGGGCUAAUUAAAUUACUGAAUUUACAAUGAGAAUAUAUUAGUCCAUCCUUCCCUUCACUGAUUUUUAUUCUUUACUCCUCCAGUUAAUUUUCUUUUAAAUCUGCCUUUGUGUUCUCAGUGUGGCAUAAAAGGACUAGUCAACGGCCUGAAUACAGGGGCAGUUGAGGGAAAUUUCCAUCUGCAAUCAAUCUCCCCACUGCAGGAGGAAUGCUGGAUAUCCUUACAUGUACAAUAAAGAUGGCUGAAUUCAGUGAUCACUCCCUGACCAGCAUAACAAUUUCUUAGAAAUUUGUGGCAGGUUGGGAGAGCAAGGGUUUAGGAUUACAUCUAAGAAGAGAUCUGUGCAUGCGAGGGUAUGACUCUCUAUCUUGGGUUAGGAAUAAUGAUCUAUUUGGACGUAUGU